rnacentral:rRNA from 1 species
UACGUAGGGUGCAAGCGUUGUCCGGAAUUAUUGGGCGUAAAGAGCUCGUAGGCGGUCUGUCGCGUCGGCUGUGAAAAUCCGGGGCUCAACCCCGGACUUGCAGUGGGUACGGGCAGACUAGAGUGUGGUAGGGGAGACUGGAAUUCCUGGUGUAGCGGUGAAAUGCGCAGAUAUCAGGAGGAACACCGAUGGCGAAGGCAGGUCUCUGGGCCACUACUGACGCUGAGAAGCGAAAGCGUGGGGAGCGAACAGG